rnacentral:rRNA from 1 species
UACAGAGACUGCAAGCGUUAUUCGGAUUCACUGGGCGUAAAGGGUGCGCAGGCGGCCAAGUGUGUGAGGCGUGAAAGCCUGGGCUUAACUCCAGAAUUGCACCUCAAACUACAUGGCUAGAGCAUUGGAGAGGGUAGCAGAAUUCACGGUGUAGCAGUGAAAUGCGUAGAUAUCGUGAGGAAUACCAGAGGCGAAGGCGGCUACCUGGACAAUUGCUGACGCUCAGGCCCGAAAGCGUGGGGAGCAAAAGGG